AUUUGUGAAUUUUUCCAUGCAGACGGAUGUAUCUCCAGUGGUUAAAAUGGCGUUGAAGAAGCAUGUAAUGUAGGGCAGUAUAAAUGAUGGUUUGCGUCGCUUCGUCAGCUUUGGAUGAAUGUUAAUGAACUGCCAGUGUAGAAUGCGGCAUUGACGGCGGCCUUUGCUGUCAAUAAGGUCCCUUCGAGUUCUGGUCUGUCCGUCCGGCCGUCUAGCCUUUGGGGUUUUCUGUUGUGCUGCUUCUUCAGCACAGUAGGGUCAACAUAGGCUGAAAGAGACAAGGAAAUAUCCUCCAAAAAAAACAAGGUUUUCAAAAAAUAGAAUCAACUGUUCGAGAGUCAAACGUUCGUAUUGCAGUCCUGGUUUCCUGGCCAUGAUAAUCUUUAUGGAAUACCUUAUUGACGCUGGGAUAUGCAACAGCGUCUGGGUUAUGGUGGCUGUGGUUGUGGCCAGAGGUAGAACUCUUGGUAUGAGUAUUUGAUUAACUCGAGUAGAGUGAGAAAAUGAGAAAAUAUUUACCAGAAAUAUUGGAUCACGGGAUUUAAAGAUUUUGCGAACUACUAUAUAUAUAUAUAAAAUAUACCUCAAGGCAGUACAGGAGAUGUGGCAUUAUAAGAGCAAGAAACUGUCAUUGAAGAACAUAUUUUUCACGGUUAUUUUUUUGAAGCACUAGAAAAAUCUCAAUGACAUCAUAACACUUUUAUGAAAAUUAUUUCACAAGUAAGCAAGUUUUUUGCUUCCAACUCUAUGAUCUAAAAAAAGUAAUCAUUAAAAAAUUUCGGGAAAAACGUCAUGUUGAUAUAACUCAAAUCAUGAUUAUUUUUUCGAUAUUUCUACAUUAAUAGAGAAAAAAUAAUAUAUGCCAACUUUUUAUCCAGUAAUCUUACCCAUUGAAUAUAAAAAAAAUCUACAAAUUAGAAGUUAUGCUUUAUUUAUUUAGAAUUUUUGGGAUACACACAAGUAUUGGAAUAUAAAUGAGAGCUUUCCGUAAAGGAUUACGACCUCAUUCACAAAACUUAAUAUAGAUUUGAAAUGGGUUCAUGUGACAGAUUUCCCUUAAAGAACUGUCAAAUAAACCUAUUUUAAGGCUUCAUUAAGCUUUGAGUGUAGCCAUGAUUGUAGUCUUUGUCGUAUUUCUGGAAUAUAGUUUUAUAAGUGUAGAAGUUGAAAGUUUUGCGGGAGAUUUUCCCAAAAAAGGUUUACAAUACAAUUAUGUUAUAUGUACUAUAUAUCAAAUAAUUUUGGUUUUGCGUUUAGUUUAUAUAAAUUAUUUUCUGUUGGAAUUUUUUCUGAUAUAUUUUCAUUCGACCGAAAUUAUUUUCCACCGAACAUAUUCUGCAUCCUGUUGCUCAUCGCCAUCAAACCGUUGUUAAGAUUUGCCAUACCGCGGCUGAAAUUCUCUUUGAAAUUAUUCAUUUGGGCAUUAAAUGCUUCCUCAUCGAAGUCGCCGGUAGUUAUAGUUUGUAGGGAGUUGAGGGAGUUGAUUGAGCUGAUGCCUCCACUGCGGUUAGCUUGUAACGUCAGCUGAAUCUGCGUAUUGGGAUCAAUAGGUUCAUUAAAUACUGACUUUACCAGUUCUUCGCCGGACAUCGCAAAACAGGUAUUGGAACGCAGCAAGACUGAGGCAUCAUUUGGAUGCUUUUGCUUGGUGACCACACAAUACUCGGCAUUCAAAGGACAUUCAAUUUUGUCGCAUCGAAAUUUGUC
rnacentral:sRNA from 1 species